GUGGGGAAAAUUGGGCAAUGGGGGAAACCCUGACCCAGCAACGCCGCGUGAAGGAAGAAGGCUUUCGGGUUGUAAACCUCUGUCCUUGGUGACGAAACAAAUGACGGUAGCCAAGGAGGAAGCCCCGGCUAACUACGUGCCAGCAGCCGCGGUAAUACGUAGGGGGCGAGCGUUGUCCGGAAUUACUGGGCGUAAAGGGUGCGUAGGUGGCCUUUUAAGUUGGAUGUGAAAUACCCGGGCUUAACUUGGGGGGUGCAUCCAAAACUGGGAGGCUAGAGUGCAGGAGAGGAAAGCGGAAUUCCUAGUGUAGCGGUGAAAUGCGUAGAUAUUAGGAGGAACACCAGUGGCGAAGGCGGCUUUCUGGACUGUAACUGACACUGAGGCACGAAAGCGUGGGGAGCAAACAGGAUUAGAUACCCCAGUAGUCC
rnacentral:rRNA from 1 species